GGAACAUUCUGAACAUUACUUACUUAGAUUGCCAAAUCACAAGCUUCAGUAAAAGUACACAGAUUUCUGUGGGGGAAACAAAGAGAGGGUCCAGAAAACACAUUCACAGGACAAACUGUUGUUCGCUUUUGGAACAAAGACAGAUGGCUGGAAGAUGUAGGGAUUGACAACCAGCGGAUGGUGCAACAACACAAUCAAAGAACUGUUGGAUGCCUGACAUCCCACAUUGGAUUCCAUAGUCGAAGAUAAAUGUGGUAGAGUUCAGCGAAGACCAUCUUGUCUUGUACACCAAUGGAGAAGUAACGCAGAGAUGGAGUUUGAUGCCUUCCACCAUCUUUUACGGAUGAAGAAGGCUAGAUAUCUAAAGAAGUGGAUGUAUGAAUCAUCUGUGCGAGACAGGCCGAAGCAACAUCGUCUUCUUCUCUGUCCACUUGUGAACUCACUCUUUCUCAGCAAGACCGGUGAUGGCGCAGCUUGUUUACGGACUGCAGAGGGGGAGGAGGGCAGAGGAGGAGGUGAAGAAAGAAGAUGACAGAUGCAAGCCGAGAAGGAAGAGAAGGUGAAGAGGUCUGUGACCGUAGGCAAGUCUAAUGCUUGGCUUUGGGGGAGAGUAGUUCAUCCAUCUCCCCUCUGUUUCCUUUUUCUUUUCCUGUGUUUUCCUCGGCAUCAUGUCGCUCUCUUAUUGGAUUAUUCUUCCUCAAAUUUACUGCUUGAUUUGGUGGUGUGUGUGUGUGCUGAUCUUUCCUUCUUCUUCAAUUAAUGCUUGAUUUGGUUGAGAUGUAAUGGCGUGAUGGAUCGAAGAUGAAUCAUGAAAUAAUGACAGUUCCAUUAGAUAC